CCUGAAACAGUUAUUCUUGGGAUGACAUUAUAUCUGCACUGCAGUUUAGGAGCUGGAAUGGAGGAAACUGAAUUAUAAUUGUGUCACUUGAGGAGAUACCUCCAAUCAAAAGGCCUUGGUUCUG
rnacentral:lncRNA from 1 species